rnacentral:rRNA from 1 species
AUGGCGCAGGACGAUCCGGUUGUUUCUGCGCAAUGGCUGCAGCAGCACCUAGGGCAGCUUGAUAUCAAGGUAUUGGAUGCUUCCUGGUACAUGCCACAAGAGAGCAGGGACCCAUGGCAAGAAUACCAGGUGGCCCAUAUUCCUGGUGCGCUGUUCUUCGACAUCGAUGGAAUCGUCAAUCGGGCGACUGAUUUGCCACACAUGCUGCCAUCAGAAGAGGCUUUUGCAGCAGCAGUUUCCGCACUUGGUAUCAAUAACCAUGAUAAAGUUGUUGUUUAUGAUGGAAAGGGCUUCUUCAGUGCGCCUCGUGUUUGGUGGAUGUUCAGAGUUCUUGGACAUGAUAAAGUUUGGGUCUUAGAUGGAGGUUUCCCUCAGUGGCAAGCUUCUGGAUUCAACAUUGCAAGCAGCUGCCCUGAUGAUGCAGUUCUGAAAUCCAAAGCGGCAAAUAGUGCUGUUGAAACAGCUUAUAAUGGUAAAUUGGCAAAUGCUGCCACAUUUCAAACAGAGUUUCGACCUCAGCUAUUCUGGACACUAGAAAAGGUCAAACAAAAUGUAGCUGCUAAGGCUCAUCAAGUAGUUGAUGCCCGAGCAAAGGGCAGAUUUGAUGGUGUAAUGCCAGAACCAAGGGAAGGAGUAAGAAGUGGGCAUAUACCUGGAACUAAAUGUGUUCCGUUCCCUGAGAUGUUUGAUGGUGCACAAACGCUCCUCCCUGCAGAUGAGCUAUCGAAAAAGUUUGAGCAAGAAGGCAUUUUGCUUGAUCACCCGAUUGUCGUCACAUGUGGAUCUGGUGUAACUGCCUGCAUACUUGCCCUGGGCUUCUAUAGAAUUGGUAAGCAUGAUGUUCCAGUUUACGACGGAUCUUGGACAGAAUGGGAAGCGCAGCCCGAUGAUGAUUACCCAAAAGUUGCUUCAACUGCCCCUUAA